GACGAAGGGGGCUAGCGUUGUUCGGAAUUACUGGGCGUAAAGCGAGUGUAGGUGGUUGUCAUAGUCAGGCGUGAAAGCCUUGAGCUCAACUCAAGAAAUGCGCUUGAUACUGGGCAGCUAGAGGACCGGAGAGGAUAGUGGAAUUCCCAGUGUAGUGGUGAAAUACGUAGAGAUUGGGAAGAACACCAGUGGCGAAGGCGGCUAUCUGGACGGUUUCUGACACUAAGACUCGAAAAGCGUGGGGAGCAAACAGG
rnacentral:rRNA from 1 species